CAAGAGCGUAUAUUAAAGUUGUUGCAGUUAAAAGCUCGUAGUUGGAUUUCUUAUACAAUGCGCCUGGCCCGCUUACGUGAGUGCUGGUGCACGUUUGCCAUCUUCUAGAAAACGUCUCUACUCGGUCAACUGAGCCGGAUUCGCGAUCUAGAUCUUUUACUUUUGAAAACAUUAGAGUGUUUAAAGCAGGCUAUUGCCUUGAAUACAUUAGCAUGGAAUAAUAUUCCAGGACUUCGGCUUUAUUUUGUUGGUUUCUAGUACUGAAGUAAUGAUUGAUAGGGAUAGUUGGGGGUGCUAGUGUUGACCGGCCAGAGGUGAAAUUCUUGGAUUCGGUCAAGACUAACUUACGCGGAAGCAUUUCACCAAAGGAUGUCCUCUUUAAUUAAGAACGAAAGUUAGGGGAUCGAA
rnacentral:rRNA from 1 species